GACGAACGCUGGCGGCGUGCUUAACACAUGCAAGUCGAACGGUGAAGCCCUUCGGGGUGGAUCAGUGGCGAACGGGUGAGUAACACGUGAGCAACCUGCCCCUGGCUCUGGGACAACCACUGGAAACGGUGGCUAAUACCGGAUACGACCCGCCUCGGCAUCGAGUGUGGGUGGAAAGUUUUUCGGCUGGGGAUGGGCUCGCGGCCUAUCAGCUUGUUGGUGAGGUGAAGGCUCACCAAGGCGACGACGGGUAGCCGGCCUGAGAGGGCGACCGGCCACACUGGGACUGAGGCACGGCCCAGACUCCUACGGGAGGCAGCAGUGGGGAAUAUUGCACAAUGGGCGAAAGCCUGAUGCAGCGACGCCGCGUGAGGGAUGACGGCCUUCGGGUUGUAAACCUCUUUCAGCUCCGAAGAAGCGAAAGUGACGGUAGGAGCAGAAGAAGCACCGGCUAACUACGUG
rnacentral:rRNA from 1 species